rnacentral:rRNA from 1 species
CCUACGGGGCGCAGCAGUGAGGAAUAUUGGUCAAUGGCCGGAAGGCUGAACCAGCCAAGCCGCGUGAAGGACGAAGGUGCCAAGCAUUGUAAACUUCUUUUGUCAAGGGACAAAAUCAGGCUCGAGAGCCUGACCGAGGGUACUUGAAGAAAAAGCAUCGGCUAACUCCGUGCCAGCAGCCGCGGUAAUACGGAGGAUGCGAGCGUUAUCCGGAUUUAUUGGGUUUAAAGGGUGCGUAGGCGGACUGUUAAGUCAGCGGUAAAAGCCCGGGGCUCAACCCCGGCGAGCCGUUGAAACUGGCGGUCUUGAGAUGUCGAGAGGUAGGCGGAAUGCGCAGUGUAGCGGUGAAAUGCUUAGAUAUUGCGCAGAACUCCGAGUGCGAAGGCAGCAUACCGGCGGCGAUCUGACGCUGAGGCACGAAAGCGUGGGUAUCGAACAGGAUUAGAUACCCCAGUAGUC